AUACGUAGGGGGCGAGCGUUGUCCGGAAUGAUUGGGCGUAAAGGGCGCGUAGGCGGCGCGGUAAGUCUGGAGUGAAAGUCCUGCUUUCAAGGUGGGAAUUGCUUUGGAUACUGCCGCGCUUGAGUGCAGGAGAGGUUAUCGGAAUUCCCGGUGUAGCGGUGAAAUGCGUAGAGAUCGGGAGGAACACCGGUGGCGAAGGCGGGUAACUGGACUGCAACUGACGCUGAGGCGCGAAAGUGUGGGGAGCAAACAGGAUUAGAUACCCUGGUAGUCCACACUGUAAACGAUGAAUGCUAGGUGUAAGAGGUAUCGACCCCUUUUGUGCCGGAGUCAACACAAUAAGCAUUCCGCCUGGGGAGUACGGCCGCAAGGUUGAAACUCAAAUGAAUUGACGGGG
rnacentral:rRNA from 1 species